UACAGAGGUCCCAAGCGUUGUUCGGAUUCAUUGGGCGUAAAGGGUGCGUAGGCGGCGCGGUAAGUCGGGUGUGAAAUCUCGGGGCUUAACUCCGAAACUGCAUUCGAUACUGGCGUGCUUGAGGACUGGAGAGGAGACUGGAAUUCAUGGUGUAGCAGUGAAAAUGCGUAGAGAUCAUGAGGAAGACCAGUGGCGAAGGCGGGUCUCUGGACAUUCCUGACACUGAG
rnacentral:rRNA from 1 species